GAGGCCUUAAUUUAAUUAAAUUACCUGGGUUGCAUUCAGGAUAUGUAAGUAAAGUCUUGCAGGUUUUA
rnacentral:tRNA from 1 species